GUGAAUCAUCGAAUCUUUGAACGCACAUUGCGCCCGCCAGUACUCUGGCGGGCAUGCCUGUUCGAGCGUCAUUUCAACCCUCAAGCUCUGCUUGGUGUUGGGGAUCGGCGUAGCGCCCUCGGGCGUCGCCGUCCCCUAAAUCUAGUGGCGGUCCCGCUGUAGCCUCCUCUGCGUAGUAGUUUUCUCCUCGCACUGGAAUCUCGGCGGUGCCCUGCCGUAAAACCCCCAACUUACCGAAAUGUUGACCUCGAAUCAGGUAGGAAUACCCGCUGAACUUAAGCAUAUCAAUAAGCGGAGGA
rnacentral:misc_RNA from 1 species